rnacentral:misc_RNA from 1 species
AAAUUAAAUAUCGAUUUGUUGCUUAUCGCAACGUUUCGGAGUUGGGUUAACUUGAUCGUUCUCAAGUGACCUAAAAUUCAUUAUUUACUUCGGUACGAUUAACGUUCUUAAAUGAUUUCGUUUAGAGUGCCGAAUAUUUUAUUAGACGUGACUAUUUUAUAGCAUCACCUCUAUAAUUUUGAAU